rnacentral:rRNA from 1 species
UACAUAGGGGGCAAGCGUUCUCCGGAAUUAUUGGGUGUAAAGGGUGCGUAGACGGGCGCCUAAGUUGGUUGUGAAAUCCCUCGGCUCAACUGAGGAACUGCAACCAAAACUGGGUGUCUUGAGUGUCGGAGAGGAAAGUGGAAUUCCUAGUGUAGCGGUGAAAUGCGUAGAUAUUAGGAGGAACACCAGUGGCGAAGGCGACUUUCUGGACGAUAACUGACGUUGAGGCACGAAAGUGUGGGGAG